rnacentral:rRNA from 1 species
UACGUAGGGGGCAAGGCGUUGUCCGGAAUCAUUGGGCGUAAAGCGCACGUAGGCGGCUUUCUAAGUCGGGGGUGAAAUCCUGGAGCUCAACUCCAGAACUGCCUUCGAUACUGGAAAGCUCGAGUCCGGGAGAGGUGAGUGGAACUGCGAGUGUAGAGGUGAAAUUCGUAGAUAUUCGCAAGAACACCAGUGGCGAAGGCGGCUCACUGGCCCGGUACUGACGCUGAGGUGCGAAAGCGUGGGGAGCAAACAGGG